AUUGAACGCUGGCGGCAGGCCUAACACAUGCAAGUCGGACGGUAGCACAGAGAGCUUGCUCUCGGGUGACGAGUGGCGGACGGGUGAGUAAUGUCUGGGGAUCUGCCCGAUAGAGGGGGAUAACCACUGGAAACGGUGGCUAAUACCGCAUAACGUCGCAAGACCAAAGAGGGGGACCUUCGGGCCUCUCACUAUCGGAUGAACCCAGAUGGGAUUAGCUAGUAGGCGGGGUAACGGCCCACCUAGGCGACGAUCCCUAGCUGGUCUGAGAGGAUGACAAGCCCCACUGGAACUGGGACACGGUCCAGACUCCUACGGGAGGCAGCAGUGGGGAAUAUUGCACAAUGGGCGAAAGCCUGAUGCAGCCCUGCCGCGUGUAUGAAGAAGGCCUUCGGGUUGUAAAGUACUUUCAGCGGGGGGGAAGGCGAUGUGGUUAAUAACCGCGUCGAUUGACGUUACCCGCAGAAGAAGCACCGGCUAACUCCGUGCCAGCCGCCGCAGUAA
rnacentral:rRNA from 1 species